rnacentral:rRNA from 1 species
AGCGAACGCUGGCGGCAGGCCUAACACAUGCAAGUCGAACGAACCUUUCGGGGUUAGUGGCGGACGGGUGAGUAACACGUGGGAACGUGCCUUUAGGUUCGGAAUAACUCAGGGGAACUUGUGCUAAUACCGAAUGUGCCCUUCGGGGGAAAGAUUAAUCGCCUUUAGAGCGGCCCGCGUCUGAUUAGCUAGUUGGUUGAGGUAAUGGCUCACCAAGGCGACGAUCAGUAGCUGGUCUGAGAGGAUGAUCAGCCACAUUGGGACUGAGACACGGCCCAAACUCCUACGGGAAGCAGCAGUGGGGAAUCUUGCGCAAUGGGCGAAAGCCUGACGCAGCCAUGCCGCGUGAAUGAUGAAGGUCUUAGGAUUGUAAAAUUCUUUCACCGGGGACGAUAAUGACGGUACCCGGAGAAGAAGCCCCGGCUAACUUCGUG